rnacentral:rRNA from 1 species
ACGUUGGAUACUGGAGCGGGGAAGGAUUUCGUGCCAACGGCACUCGUACACGAGUUGUUCGGAUACUGAGCACAACGUUACACCGUUUUGUUAGGAAAGUGAAGGUGCGUCGGCGGCGUGCGUUUUUUUUUUGGUUUUUUUUUUUUUUUUAAAAAAAAAAAAAAAAAAGGCGCCCCCCCCUGGGCCUUUUUGAAAAGGGGGAAAA